rnacentral:lncRNA from 1 species
UUACAAGUGGUUAGGAUUAUUAUGUAUUUUAUUUACAUGUAAAUAUUGAAACAAAUAAUAUUGUACUGUUUCAUAGUUUAAAACUCAUUAUGUUACAGUCUUUUCCAGUUGAUAAAAUUGCAAAUCAAAAACUUUUAGAUUUUACUGUGUGGAUGGCACAGGAAGAAAACAAGAGUACUUACAAGAACAUGAAACAUCUUAUUAUGAAUGUAUGCCAUCCUCAAAAAAUUAUUCUACAAAACAAGAUCGAGAAAGAGCUUUAAAAUCCCAAGGAUUCUGUAAAAUGUUUAUUUCCUGUACUAGUCGAAGAAUAAUAGUAUCUAAAAACAUUGAAACUGAUUGUUGUGGAGUAACAUAUUUUAAAACACAUUAUGACAUGAGGAUGAUAUAGAGUACUUACAUAUACCAAAAUCAGAUAAAUAUCUCUUGAAAGUUUAUUUUGAGAGUUUUUUCAAAAAUUGCACUUCAGACUGUUCAGGAUAGCAUAGGAGGUGAAUUAAAAAUAAUUGAUUUACUUACAAGAAAAGAUAUCACAAACAUUAAACACCCUUGUGGCAUUGAUUUGAAAGAUGGAUAUAGGUACAAACAUGACGCAACCAGUGUUCAUUUUUGGGUCGAAUGCUUACAGACUACGUCAUGUCCAAUAUUAUUUUACACACAACAGGGCAUACUAAUGGAUAUUCAUCCUGAAUUUAACAUUUAUGAUUUUUGUCUUAUUUUCAUGAAUGCUGUGCCAAAAUGAAAUGUUAAUUAAGUUUGGUAAAUAUUUUAUCGCAAUAGAUGGAACUCAUGAACUCAUUUCUUAUGACUUUGAACUUACAACAGUAUUAGUAAAAAAUGAAUUUAGGAAUGGGUUUCAUAAUGCUUUCUUAUUUUCAAAUAGAAAAGAUACCUACUUUUAUUUACCAAGUUUUUUUUUAAAUACAUGUGUGUGAUGGUGUUAUAUGUACAGUUGAGUGUUUUCAUAUCAGACAUAACUGACACCUUUUACAAUGCCUGCUCAAAUGUAACGGGUUCUGUUCCUAAUAGACUGUUUUAAGUGCCUGGCACAUAGAUAGGGCAUGUCAAGUAAAUCUUAAUCAAAUAUCUGAUUCUGAAAAAAAUCUUAUGUAUCGUCACCUCAAAGAAACAUUGUAAGGUACUUAGUACCUUUUUUAUAUUUGAAUGGAUUUACAUGGAAUUUUGUUUCAGUAUAUAAUUUUACAGGCCUUACAUAAAUAUUUAUAUUAUUUCAUAAAAAAGUGAAAAAUAAUUGGAAAAAAAGUUACUUGUCCUACUGUUGCUCUAAAAGUUAAUCUGUUUUUUAACGAUAUCCGUAAAUAUGUGUGGACGUUUGAGUUGGAAUAAAUUCAUUAUCUUAAGAAUGGGAGCAUUUGGAGAGAAAUACUGGGACAGGUCGAUUUUUAUUUUUAAAUUAUGACUUUUAACCAUAUAUAUCAUACUAAUGACAUCAUCCAUCUGGUCGUGAUGACGUAAUUGAUGAUUUUUUUAAAUUAGAGUAGGGGUGGUGCGAUAGCUCAUUUGAAAGGUUAUUUAAUUCUCUAUUCAUUAAUAUAAACGUUAACAUAAUUAUUUAUACAGGGUACCCAAAAAAAAAAUUUUGUUUAUUAAAUUAAUUGAGACAAAAAGAAGAGUGUAUGUAAUUCAUUUACUUAAAUAGUUAUUUAUGAUAUAAGUGUUAAAAGUACACGUUUAACGCAUACAUAUGAAAGUUUCUCGCUUUCGCUCAUUCUGCAAUUCACAUGAGUGCCUUAAAAAUGUACUUUUUAACAUUCAUAUCAUACAAUAUUUUUUCUACAAAUGUAAAUCUAUUGUUAUAGGAAAGGUUGUGGAAUUAAUACCAAUAUCAUAAAAUGUUCAUAAAAUUUUGGACAAAAGAGUAUCCAUCAGUUGUUAUCAGUUACGCUUAAAACUUGGCACACAUGGAGAGCUAUACUAUAAUAUAUUAUAAUAUCUCAUAUCGUUAUAUAUAUAUAUAUAUAUAUAUAUAUAUAUAUAUAUAUAUAUAUAUAUAUAUAUAUAU